UACGUGAGGGGCGAACGUUGUUCGGUGUCACUGGGCUUAAAGGGUGCGUAGGUGGUUGCGUAAGUAACGUGUGAAAUCCCUCGGCUUACCCGGGGAAUUGCAUGUUAUACUGCGUGACUUGAGGACUAAAGGGGAAAAGGGAACUCCAGGUGUAGCGGUGAAAUGCGCAGAUAUCUGGGGGAAGGCCGGCGGCGAAGGCGCUUUUCUGGUUAGAUCCUGACACUGAGGCACGAAAGCGUGGGGAGCAAACAGG
rnacentral:rRNA from 1 species